GGGGAUGUUCCGGUUUCGACGGGGUCGUCAAGGGUCGGAUAGCGAGUAGAGGGCCCCGUUGGCCUCUUUAAAAAACGGGAAACUUAAAAUUAAACGCAAACGAUAAUUUUGCACUUCAGGCUGCCUAAUCGCAGUUUGCGCCGCCCCGCGGGUUCCUCAAGCCUUCGGCAAGCGGUGUCAGCAAUUUGAGCCCCGCGGGUUUAAGGGUUAACGCCGCCAACCUCACACGCAAAGCUUUGAGUGCGUGAGGACCCCAUGAAGCUACCGAAGCACCGAGCCGGCCGUUUGGCGCGGCGUUCCGGGAAAUCUAAACAGACGGCUACACUCGUAGAAGUCAGGCUUGCGUCGGUUUCGGACAGGAGUUCGACUCUCCUCAUCUCCACCA
rnacentral:tmRNA from 1 species